ACCCUAGCUCAGAUCCCCCUUCCUCCAUCUCAUUCCCCUUGUCCCUGGCGGCGGCGCACCACUCGUAUCUUCCUCUCUCCACCAAACCCUACCCACCAACGCGAGCUCCUCUCCCCUGCACCACUCCUCGUCGCCGCCACCACCACCACCUACGGCGCCCGAUCCCGCCCUCCGGUGGCGCCGAGCUCACCACGGUGACCCCAUCCUUCCGCUCCUUCCUCUCAUCAGGCCAGAUCGGGCGCGCGCGUCCUCAAGUCGCCAAGCGCGACCCCCGAUUCAGCCGAGGCUGCCGCCCGCGCCCGCGCGCCACCACCCGCUCCUCCUCGCCUCCCGUAGGACGCAGACCCCGCGCCGCUCGUCCUCCGCCCGCCGACCCACCCCGUCCCUGAUGCCUCACUCGGCGCCUUCCGCUACAGGGCCGCCGCGCUCGCAACACCCUCGGCGCCGCACCUCCACCGCCACCUCCGCUGGCUCCUCGCCGACGCCCCCGCCUCAUGCACGAGCGGCCGGAGCACGCCGUCCACCCCGCGCACGAGGCGCUCGACGCGCUCGAUGUCUUCGAUACGGUGCAGGACAUCAAGGACCUGGAGCACCCCUACUCGCUGGAGCAGAUACGGUGUGUGCUCUCCCAGGAGCCCGUCUCCGUCUCCAUAUCCGCCCGAGGUGUCUCCUCAUCAUCUACAACAAAGGAUCCCCAUUGCCCGCCACCAGCCUGUAGCAGAGGAUCCCCACUCUGUUGGGCACAACACGAACACCCAAAACAGGCAAACAAUUGACUGGGGUGUGCAGUACUUCCGCAGGUGCCACGAAUCCGGAGCCUGAUGUUGCUGCUGAAGAGCAGAGCGAUCAAGCUCCCCCAAAGGGACAUCUAGAGGGCCUUACUCAUCAGGUGCACAUGAGUGUUCUGGAUGACAUGGUCUCCUUUUCGGCAUGUGCAAGUGUCGGGUGGUGCUUGCCUACAUGGUUUACGGCAAGCUGCAGUUCAGGUGGGCGCUCCAGCUCUCCCUUCUCAUGCUAUACAUCCAGGAGCUCCAGGCCUAAGAAAGUUGGAAGUGCGAAGACGUGAAGAAAAGCGCGAAGCCGUGAAGUGCUACUCAGCAAAGAGUUGUCAGCUCUAUUUGACUGUAAUAUUGUAAUAUUGUAAUAGCUGGUAUACCUGGGUUGUAAUAGUCUACUGAAAUUGUAAGACACUAAUCUAGUGUUAUUUGACGAAUUUCACAUGUUCUCUUAUUUGUUUGGAAUAUUUGAUUAUGAAUGUGA